rnacentral:rRNA from 1 species
UGAACGCUAGCGGCAGGCUUAAUACAUGCAAGUCGUGGGGCAGCAUGAGUAGCAAUACUUGAUGGCGACCGGCAAACGGGUGAGGAACACGUACACAACCUUCCUUCAAGCGGGGAAUAGCCCAGAGAAAUUUGGAUUAAUACCCCAUAAUAUAUUUGAUAAGGCAUCUUAUUAAUAUUAAAGCUUCGGCACUUGAUGAUGGGUGUGCGGCUGAUUAGAUAGUUGGCGGGGUAACGGCCCACCAAGUCUACGAUCAGUAGCUGAUGCGAGAGCAUGAUCAGCCACACGGGCACUGAGACACGGGCCCGACUCCUACGGGAGGCAGCAGUAAGGAAUAUUGGACAAUGGACGAAAGUCUGAUCCAGCCAUGCCGCGUGAAGGAUUAAGGUCCUCUGGAUUGUAAACUUCUUUUAUAUGGGACGAAAAAAGGGCAUUCUUGUUCACUUGACGGUACCAUAUGAAUAAGCACCGGCCAACUCCGUG